GGGCCCGUGGUGUAGUGGUUAUCAUAUCUGUCUAACAGAGAGAAGUCCCCGAUUCGAGCCUGGACAAGGUCCG
rnacentral:tRNA from 1 species